rnacentral:rRNA from 1 species
GUGAGGAAUUUUCCGCAAUGGGCGAAAGCCUGACGGAGCAAUGCCGCGUGAAGGAUGAAGGCCUAUGGGUUGUAAACUUCUUUUCUCAGAAAAGAAUUAUGACGGUAUCUGAGGAAUAAGCAUCGGCUAACUCUGUGCCAGCAGCCGCGGUAAGACAGAGGAUGCAAGCGUUAUCCGGAAUGAUUGGGCGUAAAGCGUCUGUAGGUUGUUUAAAAAGUAUUCUGUCAAAGAUUAGGGCUUAACCCUAGAUAGGCAGAAUAAACUUUUAAGCUAGAGUUUGGUAGGGGCAGAGGGAAUUCCCGGUGGAGCGGUGAAAUGCGUAGAUAUCGGGAGGAACACCAAAGGCGAAGGCACUCUGCUGGGCCAAUACUAACACUGAGAGACGAAAGCGAGGGGAGCAAAUGGGAUUAGAAACCCGUGUAGUCC